rnacentral:rRNA from 1 species
UACAGAGGUCUCAAGCGUUGUUCGGAUUCAUUGGGCGUAAAGGGUGCGUAGGCGGCGCGGUAAGUCGGGUGUGAAAUUUCGAGGCUUAACUUCGAAACUGCAUUCGAUACUGCCGUGCUUGAGGACUGGAGAGGAGACUGGAAUUUACGGUGUAGCGGUGAAAUGCGUAGAUAUCGUAAGGAAGACCAGUGGCGAAGGCGGGUCUCGUGGACAGUUCCUGACGCUGGAGGCACGAAGGCCAGGGGGAGCAAACGGG